GCGGCCUCUGACCUAGGGAUGGAGGCCUGUAUGGCCCCGAAGGCAUCCUACCUGCAAGGAGGACGCUGCGGCCUCAGGGCAAGGGGCGCUGGCAGCAGCUGUGGGAGACCCCGACGCUGCUGUGGGAAGCGCCGAGACUGGGGCUGGACACGGCCCAGGGCCUGGAGCUGCUGAGCCUGCUGGGCGCACUACUGGCCCUGGGGGCCCUGCUGCUGAGCCCACUGCGCCACCCCGUCAUCUACCUGCUGCUUUGGGCCGCCUACCUGUCGGCCUGCCAGGUGGGCCAGGUGUUCCUGUAUUUCCAGUGGGACUCUCUGCUGCUAGAGACUGGCUUCCUGGCCGUGCUGGUGGCCCCGCUGAGGCCAGCCUCCCACCGCAAGGAGGCCCCCCAGGGCAGGCAGGCAGGGGCCCUGCCCCACGAAGACCUCCCCUUCUGGCUGGUGCGCUGGCUGCUGUUCCGCCUCAUGUUCGCCUCAGGCGUAGUCAAGCUGACCAGCCGCUGCCCCGCAUGGUGGGGGCUCACUGGUGAGGGGCCCGGCCUGGACCUGGGGUAGUCUAGGGGCUCGGCCAGCCCUGACUCCUGCCCUUGCCUGCAGCCCUCACCUACCACUACGAGACCCAGUGCCUGCCCACGCCCGCCGCCUGGUUCGCACACCACUUGCCCGUCUGGCUGCACAAGCUCAGCGUGGUGGCCACCUUCCUGAUUGAGAUCGCCGUGCCGCCCCUGUUCUUCGCCCCCAUUCGACGCCUGCGCUUGGCUGCCUUCUACUCGCAGGUGCUGCUGCAGGUCUUGAUUAUCAUCACCGGCAACUACAACUUCUUCAACCUGAUGACGCUGGUGCUUACCACUGCACUGCUGGACGACCAACACCUGGCUGCUGAGCCUGGCCACGGC
rnacentral:sRNA from 1 species